rnacentral:rRNA from 1 species
CCUACGUGUGGCAGCAGUGGGGAAUAUUGCACAAUGGGGGAAACCCUGAUGCAGCGACGCCGCGUGAGCGAAGAAGUAUUUCGGUAUGUAAAGCUCUAUCAGCAGGGAAGAAAAUGCCGGUACCUGAGUAAGAAGCUCCGGCUAAAUACGUGCCAGCAGCCGCGGUAAUACGUAUGGAGCAAGCGUUAUCCGGAUUUACUGGGUGUAAAGGGAGCGCAGGCGGCCUUGCAAGUACGAUGUGAAAUCCCGGGGCUCAACCCCGGAGCUGCAUUGGAAACUGGGAGGCUGGAGUGGCGGAGAGGCAGGCGGAAUUCCUAGUGUAGCGGUGAAAUGCGUAGAUAUUAGGAGGAACACCAGUGGCGAAGGCGGCCUGCUGGACGAUGACUGACGCUGAGGCUCGAAAGCGUGGGGAGCAAACAGGAUUAGAUACCCUGGUAGUC